rnacentral:tRNA from 1 species
GUGAAAAGAGGUGGAUAUUGUCACUGUUUUGAUUUGAGAUCAAAGAGUUUGCGUUAUUAAAGACGUGUUUUCACU